AUGUAGCCAAACCAAAUGCUGAAGCCCUAUUGUCUCAUCAGAGUGCUUUAGUUUUGGAUUCCAUGCUCUCCUCUGGGGGGAUCUGCUCAUAUAGACGCCAGAGCCAUGACGCAUUAAUAAGGGGGCUGGGAGAAGAAACGGCUCCCUAAAAUGAAAACGACCAAUCCACAAGCUUUUAUUGCGUCUGUCCAGAAGAAGGCUGUGUUUGGUGGUGUGGAGCAGUGGGUAGAGUCCUGGGGCUGGUUUGUCAUCAGGAAAAUGGGUUCAACGGUGGCCUCUGACUCUUCCUAGCUGUGUGACCAUGGUUAAGGCCCUUCAUCUCUCUGACCUUCAGGCUACUUUGUAAGACUUACCUCUAAGAGGUCAUGGAUGGAUGGGCUAAGAUCUGCUUUAAAGAAACCAACCAUCCUCACAAUGGGGAAACUGAAGACUGGGAAAGGGAAGCAGCGAUUUCCCCAAGAUCACCCAGCUGGUGGGCACCAAGUGCUUAAACCCGCAUUCCCUUGGGCCCACAUCCAGCGUUCCUUCUCCUGCACCGGAGAGAGCUGUCAAUACAAGGCUGUGAACAGGAAAUGCCAGCUGAGGACUGUGGACAGUCACUGAGGAGGAAGUCAGAGAAAAGAAGAAUUAUUCCAGGUGAGAGCUGAUCUUGCUGCUGGUUUUCUUUCCAAGAAUCUCACCUUAGUAACACUCUCGUGCAAAAAGAAACUCAUUAGCUUUCCCUGAUGGAAGGAGCAGAGGUGUUCACGGACCCUUUGGAAGCACCAAUUUGGGCCUUGCAAAAGUCCAGGCUGCCUGCUAGCUGGUUAAGAGAGACAUUGACUGGAUGGGCAGUGUACAAAAUAAGUCAAUCAGCAUGGUGAAGACUGUGUUUGUUCCAUAUGAAAGACUAGACUUGUGCUUCUUGGCCCCAAAGGAGGGAUCCAGAAGAAAUGAGUAGAAGAUGCAGACGUAUCUUUCUGGAUCAAGGAAUCAGAGCUAUCAAAAGGGUAGUAAAUGAGCUCCCCCUUCCUGAAUCUCUUCCCUCAAAAACUGGGUGAGCACUUCUCAAGGACAUUGUGGAGAAGAUCCUUGCUCGGGUAUAGGUUAGACUUGAUGACUAACAAGGCUCCUUCCAAUGGUGACUGUCUUCGAUUCUGUAAUUUCUUUGACAUUAAACAACAUCCUUAAUUUCUUGCCUUCAAGAACAAUGUGUUGAUUUCACUGAGUACUCUGUUCAUUACAUUUCAAUUCAAGAAGCAGGUCCUAUGGGACAGGCACUGUGUUAAGUACUGGGAAUCCAAGGAGGUUGGAAAUCACCUUCAUUUAUCAUAGCCUGCUAAAUCAAGGUGACUUAAGUUAUCUAUUGUGUCUGAUUUUAUGCAAACGUGUGGCUGGGUGGGGUUUAGGGGGUCAUGCUAUGGGUGAAAGAUCUAUGUACAGGAAAGUGGGAAAAGCAGUGACCUAGGCAGCCAGGUAACACCCAUUAUUGAAGUGAGUGUAAUGUGGGUGGUAGGGGCAAUUACAGCAUAUGUAUUUAAUCUGUGUUGUAUAUGAAUUAUGUCUUAUUACACAAUCAUGGCUGUGUUAUGCUUCAUUCAGUCAAUCAAUUAGCUUUGAUUAAAUAUUUGCUAUGUGCAUAUGCUAAUAUGUGAAGUUUUUAAAUAUACCAUUGAUGUAUGCAAUACACAUGUAGGAACAUACACACAUAUGCACACUUAUACACACAUAUGUAUGCCUA